rnacentral:rRNA from 1 species
CAGAUUGCAGGCUGCAACCCGCCUGCAUGAAGUCGGAAUUGCUAGUAAUCGCGGAUCAGCAUGCCGCGGUGAAUACGUUCCCGGGCCUUGUACACACCGCCCGUCACACCAUGGGAGCCGGUAAUACCCGAAGUCAGUAGUCCAACCUCGUGAGGACGCUGCCGAAGGUAGGAUUGGCGACUGGGGUGAAGUCGUAACAAGGUAGC